rnacentral:rRNA from 1 species
CCUACGGGUGGCAGCAGUGGGGGAUAUUGCACAAUGGGGGAAAGCCUGAUGCAGCAACGCCGCGUGUGGGAAGAAGGUUUUCGGAUUGUAAACCACUGUUCUAGGGGAAGAAAAUGACGGUAACCAAGGAGAAAGCUGCGGCUAACUACGUACCAGCAGCCGCGGGAAUACGUAGGGAGCAAGCGUUGUCCGGAUUUACGGGGUGGAAAGGGUGCGUAGGCGGUCUUGCAAGUCAGACGUGAAAGCCCCAGGCUCAACCUGUGGACUGCGUUUGAAACUGAGGGGCUUGAGUGAAGUAGAGGUAGGCGGAAUUCCCGGUGUAGCGGUGAAAUGCGUAGAGAUCGGGAGGAACACCAGUGGCGAAGGCGGCCUACUGGGCUUUAACUGACGCUGAGGCACGAAAGCCUGGGUAGCAAACAGGAUUAGAUACCCUGGUAGUC